AUGACGUUGACAAUGGCCUGCAGAAUGGAGGCCCUGAGCACUGGGACCCAGGGAGGGCCUCACCCCACAACAUACCUGAGCCACGUCUUGGGGCUCUGGGCCCUUCACUCACCUGAACCACGUCCUGUGGGUUCUGUCCCACGGAGCGAAACAGCUCCCUGGAGGCUGGGAGAUAGAGGUCCCGGAAGUAGUGCAGGGUCUCAGGAUACAGGGUCUCACUCUGUUGCCCAGGCUGGAGUGCAGUGGCAUGAUGUCUGCAGCCUCCAUCUCCUGGGUUCAAACAAUCCUCCGCCUCAGCCUCCUGAGUAGCUGGGACUGCAGCCUCUCAAAACGCUGGACUUACAGGUGUGAGCCACUGCACUCAGCUUCAUUGUCUUCAUCUCUCCUCUCCCCCUUUCGAUCCCACCUCCCCAUCACUGCCUCCAAGCCCCCUCUGCCCACGUGCCCGCCUCACAAGAUGUUGAACUGCAGCAGCUGGAUAGCGAGGCUUUCGAAGAAUCCCUCCAGGGCGAACUUGGAAGCUGCAUAGACAUCGUUGAAGAUGACACCUGUGAGGGUCAGAGGGAGGAGAGCUCUUUGAGGGUCUGGGAGGUGGGCUUUGUGGGUUCCAGGGUGAUGGGGUCUUUGGGAGACAGAGCAAAGAGGAUGUGGGAACCAGAGGAAGCAGAUAAAUGGUGCCAAGAUGA